rnacentral:SRP_RNA from 16 species
CUGCUGGCAGCAGGUGCUGGAGGGCUGCGUUCGGGCAUGGCAGCUGCAGUGUACCUGCAGGCCCUGAAGGCAGCAGCGGCAGGCAUGGC